rnacentral:rRNA from 1 species
CAGUGAAACUAAUCUCCCCGUGAAGAAGCGAGGAUACUCUUAUAAGACGAGAAGACCCCAUGGAGCUUUAAACCCAAUUAUAUCUCUAACCACUAUAACCAUUUAACCACUUAGAACUUAUAUACUUGGUUUUAGGUUGGGGCGACCACGGAGCACAACCAAACCUCCACGAUGAACGGAACAACCCCCUUAUCUGAGAAUUACACUUCUAAGAAUUAGCACACUAACAUAAAAUGACCCAUUAUUGAUCAACGAACCAAGUUACCCUGGGGAUAACAGCGCAAUCCAUUUUAAGAGCCCCUAUCGACAAAUGGGUUUACGACCUCGAUGUUGGAUCAGGAUAUCCCAGUGGUGCAGCAGCUGCUAAAGGUUCGUUUGUUCAACGAUUAAAAUCCU